rnacentral:rRNA from 1 species
AUUCAGCGGCGGACGGGUGAGUAAUGCCUAGGAAUCUGCCUGGUAGUGGGGGACAACGUCUCGAAAGGGACGCUAAUACCGCAUACGUCGACGGGAGAAAGCAGGGGACCUUCGGGCCUUGCGCUAUCAGAUGAGCCUAGGUCGGAUUAGCUAGUUGGUGAGGUAAUGGCUCACCAAGGCGACGAUCCGUAACUGGUCUGAGAGGAUGAUCAGUCACACUGGAACUGAGACACGGUCCAGACUCCUACGGGAGGCAGCAGUGGGGAAUAUUGGACAAUGGGCGAAAGCCUGAUCCAGCCAUGCCGCGUGUGUGAAGAAGGUCUUCGGAUUGUAAAGCACUUUAAGUUGGGAGGAAGGGUUGUAGAUUAAUACUCUGCAAUUUUGACGUUACCGACAGAAUAAGCACCGGCUAACUCUGUGCCAGCAGCCGCGGUAAUACAGAGGGUGCAAGCGUUAAUCGGAAUUACUGGGCGUAAAGCGCGCGUAGGUGGUUUGUUAAGUUGGAUGUGAAAGCCCCGGGCUCAACCUGGGAACUGCAUUCAAAACUGACAAGCUAGAGUAUGGUAGAGGGUGGUGGAAUUUCCUGUGUAGCGGUGAAAUGCGUAGAUAUAGGAAGGAACACCAGUGGCGAAGGCGACCACCUGGACUGAUACUGACACUGAGGUGCGAAAGCGUGGGGAGCAAACAGGAUUAGAUACCCUGGUAGUCCACGCCGUAAACGAUGUCAACUAGCCGUUGGGAGCCUCGAGCUCUAAGUGGCGCAGCUAACGCAUGAAGUGAACCCUUUGGGGAGGGCGG